UCCCUGAUGGUCCCAUGGUUAGGACUCUGCUCUUUCACUGCUGAGGGUGCAGGUUUGACCCCUGCUCAGGGAA
rnacentral:tRNA from 1 species